CACGUAGGGGGCAAGCGUUGUCCGGAUUUAUUGGGCGUAAAGAGCUCGUAGGUGGUUCGGUAAGUCGGGUGUGAAACCUCCAGGCUCAACCUGGAGACGCCACCCGAUACUGCCGUGACUCGAGUCCGGUAGGGGAGUGUGGAAUUCCCGGUGUAGCGGUGAAAUGCGCAGAUAUCGGGAGGAACACCAGUGGCGAAGGCGGCACUCUGGGCCGGUACUGACGCUGAGGAGCGAAAGCGUGGGGAGCGAACAGG
rnacentral:rRNA from 1 species